AGGAUCCUAUCUGAAGACUGUAACAGGGUCCUACAAAGGCGAGGUCACGAAGAAAAGAAGGAUAAGCUGACACGGAAAGAAAUAGUUCAAGCUGAUGUGCUUUUCUUGAUAUCACAAGGAAGAGCAGCCACGCUGUUCUGGAUCAUAGAGAGGUCCCCAUGGUUGGGGUUUGAUUAGAGGCAUCAGACAAGGUUACUGCAACAUGUGAAAUCAAUUUUGUGACUGUGAGUGAUGUUAGGGCUUCAGGGCUUGAUCUAUGUCAGGAAGAUCUUCAUCACUUCCGUGAGGGAGAUGAUGAAGAUCUUCCUGCCUCCUUUGUCGAUGACUUCGAGUGGAACAGCCACGGCAGGAGUGAUUCGUGCCUAGACACGCUGAUCGCAUCCUCGAGGCUAGCUGGAAUAGCAAAUCCGACCUCCUCUACAAGCUGUCGGAUUUUGCAGCGGUCACCAUGAGAGCAUCUCCCGUAAGAGAUCCGAGGAGGCCGCGGGCCUCCGACUCCCGCUGACUCUAAUACCGAUGUGAUGCAGAAUAGGGGGUAUAGUCGAAUAGAAUUCGAAAGAAAACCGAUACUAUAGUUUGUCGAAUAGAAAAGGAGCAAACUAACGAAGCAACUUUGAUAAAAAUGAAAAGCGGCUCACCACCAAGUUUAAAAUCACAAUGAGAUACAGAAAGUUCACCACCCAAUGGAAAUUAAACAAGGAUAUAGAGCUAGAGAAUAAAAGACUCAUCACUCACGGACACACCCAAGAGAUACAUGGUUUAUGGGAGCACUCCAAGAGAGCUUCUGCCAAAAUAUCAUCAGUUUCUAAAGUCCUUUCUAAGCCCUAAACACCAAUAUAAGUACUAGUGCAUAAAACAACUCUUUAUGCAUAGGAAAUUUUAAAAUUAAGUAUUCACGGCUAUUAACCAACUCCUUUAAUGCAUUCCUUGGUCAUGAACAAAAGCACCUUGAAACAGCUUGAAGAACUUUGUGCAGAGAAUAUGCUGAUGAGCUGUCAUAUUUGAGUGGGUUGAGUUAAAGAUUAUGAUGCAUCAUUGUUGGUUCAAAAAAAUACUAUAUCAUAAUCAAGGUUCAUAUGAUCAUAUUGUAGUAAAUUAGACACUCCCAUGUCAAUCUUCCCUGGUUGAAAAAGACUUGUCCUCAAGUCCUUGUUUGAUUCAUCAACAUGAUUAUAAAAAGGACUUAAAUCAACCACAUUAAAUGUUCGGGAUACUCCGUAAUCUUCAGGUAGCUCAAUCUCAUAAGCAUUUUUGUCAAUUCUCUUAAGCAGCUUGAAUGGACCAUCAACCUUUGGUUUCAGUUAUCCAAAUUUGCUCGGUGGAAACCUCUCCUUCCUUAGAUAAAUCCAGACCAAAUCACCUGAAUUAAACUCCAUAUGUUUUCUGUGUUUGUUGAUAGCUUACAUGUACCUCUCAUUUUGCUUCUCAAUGGUUGCUUUCACACCCUUAUGUAGCUUCUUUAUCUGCUUAGCUCUUUCAUCAGCAUCUCCAUUAAAUUGUUUUGUUGUAGAAUGAGGGAUUAAGUCCAAAGGACCAGCAAGAAUAGCACUAUAAACUACUUCAAAAGGACUCUUACCAAUACUAUAAUUCAUAGAAUGAUUGUAGGCAAGCUCAAUUUGUGGAAGAAUGACAUCUCACUGCUUAAUAUUCUUACCAGAAUAGCUUCUAAGCAAAAUUCUCAAGCUUCUGUUAGUUACCUCAGUUUGCCAUCGGUUUAUGCAUGAUGCGAACUGCUAAAAUUCAAAGAAGUACCUAGUUUCCUCUAAAGAGUUCUCUAAAAAUGACUAACAAAUUUUGAAUCUCGAUUAGACACCAUAGUUCUUGGAAUACCAUGCAAUUUAACAAUCUCCUUAAAAUACAAAUCAGCAAUAUGAGAUGCAUCAUUAGAUUAUUACAAGGAACAAAGUGAGACUUUUUUUAAAAAUCUAUCAACAACAACCAUGAUAGAAUCCUUGUUCCUUUGAGUUCUUGGCAAUCCCAAAACGAAAUCAAGACUCACAUCCUCUCAUAGAGCAUUUGGCACUGGCAAUGGACUAUAUAAACUAAAAUUUUGACUUCUUGUUUUUGUCAAAUGACACACUCGGCAUUGCUUCACAUAUCUCUCCACAUCUCUAAAUAUCUUAGUCCAAUAGAAAUUUGAUUGAAUAAGAGCUAGAAUCUUGUCCCUACCGAAAUGUUCUCCUAAAACACCACCAUGAGCUUCAGCUAGAAUUACUUGUCUCAAAGAACAAGAUGGAACACACAAGGCAUUAGCUCAAAACCAUCAAAGAUAAAAAAUUGUUAAAAGGAACCUGAUUUACAAUUCUGUCAUAUUGAGCCAAAAUCUAUAUUAUUCUCAUAUAGAUCUUUGAACAUCUCAAAUCCAACAACUUUGACUUUCAUUGCUGAUAAUAAAAAAUAUUUUUUGCUUAAUGCGUUAGCAACUACAUUUUGAAUACCAGAUUUAUGCUUAAUUGUAAAGUUAUAAGAUUGCAAGAACUCCACCCAAGCUGCAUGCCUCUUGUUUAGCUUGUGCUGGUGAUUUAUGAACUUUAAUACUUCAUGAUCUAAAUAUAGUACAAAUGGCUUGGCAAGAAGGUACCGAUUCCAAUGAGAUAAAGCUUGAUAUAUGGCAUAGAACUCCUUAUCAUAAAUAGAAUAUUUCCUUCUUGUAUCAUUCAGCUUCUCACUAAAACAAGCAAUGGGCUUUCCGUCUUGACUCAAAACAGCACCAAUUCUCACAUUUGAUAUAUCACAUUCAACCUCAAACACAUUGUCAAAAUUUAGUAGAACUAAGAUAGGAGCUUUGGUCACCUUUCUUUUUAAAAGCUCAAAACUAUCAUUAGCCUCACAUUUUAGAUAUUCGGUGAUUAGAGCGAUAAUAGAGGUGAAACCCUUGAUGAAUCUUCUGUAAAAGGAAAUUAAGCCAUGGAAACUCCUCACAUCAUGCAAUAAAGUAGGUGUUAGCCAAUUGAGAAUAGCUUCUACCUUACUUUGAUCCAUCAUGAUUCCAUCUUUUGAAUCAAUAUACCCCAAAAACACAACGCUAGAAGUAAAGAAAUCACACUUUUUUAUAUUAGCAUAAUACUUUUACUAUCUUAAAAUAAGAAAGAUCUCUUUCAGAUGAUUCAUAUGCUCCUCUUCGCUCUUGUUAUACAUCAAUAUAUCGUCAAAGUAAACUACAACAAAUAUUCCAAUGCAUGGCUUAAGUAUAUGAUUCAUAAAUCUCAUGAAAGUGCUAGGAGCAUUAGAUAGCCCAAAUGACAUAACCAACCAUUUAUACAAGCCUUCUGUAGUUUUAAAUAUUGUUUUCCACUCAUCUCCAGGCCUCAUUCUUAUUUGGUGAUAGCCACUCCUCAAAUCAAUUUUAGAGAAAAUAGAAGCACUACAUAAUUGAUCAAGUAAAUCAUCUAACCUUAGAAUGGGAAAACGAUAAUCCACUAUGAUUUUUGUUGAUAGUGCGAUUGUCCACACACAUUCUCUAAGAACCAUCCUUCUUAGGCCCCAACAAGGCUGGAACCACAUAAGGACUCAUGCUCUCCCGAAUUAACCCAUUUUUCACCAAUUCAUCAACUUGCCUUUGAAGUUCUUCAUGCUCCUUGGGACUCAUUCUGUACGUUGCCUUAUUAGGUAGAACAGCCCUCGGAAUAAGAUCAAUGUGAUGUUGGAUGUCUCUCAAAGGUGGAAGGCUAUGUAGACCAAUUCAGCUUCUCACUAAAACAAGCAAUGGGCUUUCCGUCUUGACUCAAAAUAGCACCAAUUUUCACAUUAGAUAUAUCACAUUCAACCUCAAACAUAUUGUCAAAAUUUAGUAGAACUAAGAUAGGAGCUUCGGUCACCUUUCUUUUUAAAAGCUCAAAACUAUCAUUAGCCUCACUAGUCCAUUUGAAUUUAUCACAUUUCAGACAUUCGAUGAUUAGAGCGAUAAUAGAGGUGAAACCCUUGAUGAAUCUUCUGUAAAAGGAAGUUAAGCCAUGGAAACUCCUCACAUCAUGCAAUAAAGUAGGUGUUGGCCAAUUGAGAAUAGCUUCUACCUUGCUUUGAUCCAUCAUGAUUCCAUCUUUUGAAACAAUAUACCCCAAAAACACAACGCUAGAAGUAAAGAAAUCAUAUUUUUUUAUAUUAGCAUAAAACUUUUACUAUCUUAAAAUAAGAAAGAUCUCUUUCAGAUGAUUCAUAUGCUCCUCUUCGCUCUUGUUAUACAUCAAUAUAUUGUCAAAGUAAACUACAACAAAUAUUCUAAUGCAUGGCUUAAGUAUAUGAUUCAUAAAUCUCAUGAAAAUGCUAGGAGCAUUAGAUAGCCCAAAUGGCAUAACCAACCAUUUAUACAAGCCUUCUGUAGUUUUAAAUAUUGUUUUCCACUCAUCUCCAGGCCUCAUUCUUAUUUGGUGAUAGCCACUCCUCAAAUCAAUUUUAGAGAAAAUAGAAGCACUACAUAAUUGAUCAAGUAAAUCAUCUAACCUUAUAAUGGGAAAACGAUAAUCCACUAUGAUUUUUAUUGAUAGUGCGAUUGUCCACACAUAUUCUCUAAGAACCAUCCUUCUUAGGCACCAACAAGGCUGGAACCACAUAAGGACUCAUGCUCUCCCGAAUUAACCCCUUUUUCACCAAUUCAUCAACUUGCCUUUGAAGUUCUUCAUGCUCCUUGGGACUCAUUCUGUACGUUGCCUUAUUAGGUAGAACAGCCCUCGGAAUAAGAUCAAUGUGAUGUUGGAUGUCUCUCAAAGGUGGAAGGCUAUGUAGAAUCUCUUCCGGUAUAACAUCUUAAAAUUCCUCUAGGAUUGGUUUCAUGAUUAUCGUUUUCUCCUUAUAUUAUUCGUUCUCCUCUACUACCAUUAGGGCCAAAACAUGGCCACCCUUGUUUAAUUCAUAUUUGCAUUCACCAUCAGACAUAAAAACACUAACUUCCUUCUUUGGUGUACUGAUUUCGGAAUAUUGUAAUGGAGCUAAAAUAAUCUUCUUUUCAUUCACUUUAAAAGAAUAUGUAUAUUUAUAGUCGUCAUACAACACCCUUCUAUCAUAAUGCCAAGGUCUUCCCAACAGCAAAUGACAAGCAUUCAUAGGAGUAACAUCACAUCAUACUUCAUCUUUAUAAUAUUUGCCAAUAGAAAAUGAAACUAAACAUCUUUUAGUUAUGAUAUCAUUUCCUUUUUGCAACCAACAUAAUUGGUACGGAUUUGGAUGAGGGAUUGUAUCCAACUUUAGCUUUUGUACUAUCUCCAAAGAUACCAUAUUCUCAAAGCUGCCGCUAUCUAUGAUCACCAAGCACACCUUGCCAAGAGAAGUGCAUUUAGUGUGAAAUAUGUUUUUUCUCACCUAACUUUCAUCCUCGGCCACAUAAGACACUUAUAAGCUAUAAGCUACGUUGCAAUACAAUAGAUAAACUAUGAUAUGCAUAAGUAACCUCUUCCUCAUCUUCAUCAUAUUUUGGUUCAUCGUCGGCUUCAAAUUCUCCUCCAUCACUAUGAUCUUCAACUAAAGUUACAAUCCUCCUAUUUAGACAAUCUAAAGCAAUAUGCCCAAAACCAUGACAUUUGAAGCAUUUUCGGCCACUUGGGGUAGAAGAGUUAGGUGUUUUUUUACUGCUAGUAGAUUCUUCACCCUUUUCUUGCACCUUCGAAGUCACCUUACUUUGGAUAGUAGGCUUUGAACUUCCUCCUUUUUUAUAUCCUUUUUUUUAACCAUAUCGAGAACUCUUUUCAAACUUCUGUUGUUUUUCAACUUUAAAUGCUAGCUUGCUCACAUCAUUUAAAGACCAAUAUGGCUGCAAUUGAACAACUUUAGCAAUCUCAUACUUCAGACCUCCUAAGUAUCUUGCAAUUGUUUGCUCUUCCGAUUCCACAAGCUCUUCUUUUAACAUCAGAUUAUCGAAUUCUACAGUGUACUCCACACUAAGAUCUUUUUGCUUGAAAUCAUAGAUUUUUAGAAAGAUCUCUUGCUUAUAAUUGUGAGGUAAAUAUUUUCUUUUUAGCUCCCUUUUCUUUUUUUUUCCCAUGUCAUGAUUUUACUCUUCCCUUCAUGUUCUCUUUAUUUUUUCAGAUUUUCCUACCAAAAAGAUGCAUUCCGUCUGAGUUUAAGUGCCACAAGUUUGACCUUCUUUUGUUCUGGUAGUUCAUGAAAAUCAAAAAUUCUUUCUACUAUAUUAAACCAAUCGAUAAAGUCAUCAACAUUAAUUUUAUUUUCAAAUUCUGGAAUCUCCAAUCUUGGGUUAUAUUUAUUCUACCACUCGUCUUGGACUUCAUGUCUUGCAUGAAAUCUUCUCGACUCCCUUGGAUGAGGAGGUGUAUCAUCAUCAGAAGUAAAUUCAUGGAUAUCAUUUUCAUGCUGGUUGUGUCUACUUCGAAGUUCUUCAAUUAUUUCAUUUUUUUCUUACAGACUAUGCAGCAAUCUUCGUAGCUACAGCCUCAAUGAUUUAGCAUCAUCUUCAUGGUCACUACUUUUACCAACAAUAUCUUUUCCAUUCCGCCUCGCCAUGAUCUAUAGCCUUUAGCUCUAAUACCAAAUUGAUAUCGGUGUGAUGCAGAAUGGGGGGGUGGGUGUAAUAGAAUAGAAUUUGAAAGAAAAUCGAUAGUACAAUUUGUCGAAUAGAAAAGGAGCAAACUAACGAAGAAACUUUGAUAAAAACGAAAAGCAGCUCACCACCAAGUUUAAAAUCACAAUGAGAUACAGAAAAUUCACCACCCAACGGAAAUUAAAUAAGGAUACAGAACUAGAAAAUAAAAGACUCACCACUCAAGGAUACAUCCAAGAGAUAUAGAGUUUAUGGGAGCACUCCAUGAGAGCUUUUGCCAAAAUAUCAUUAGUUUCUAAAGUCCUUUCUAAGCCCUAAACACCAACAUAAGUACUAGUAUAUGAAACAACCUUUCAUGCAUAGGGAAUUUCGAAAUUAAGUGUUCACAGCUGCUAACCAACUUCUUUAAUGCAUUCCUUGGUCAUGAAGAAAAGUACCUUGAAACAGCUUUAACUUUAUGCAAGGAAUAUGCUGAUGAGCUAUCAUAUUUGAGUGGGCUGAGUUGAAGAUUAUGAGGCACCAUUGUUGGGUGAAAAAAAUAUCAUAUCAUAAUCAAGGUUCAUAUGAUCAGAUUGUAGUAAAUUAGACACUCUCAUGUCAGGCUCUUCCGUCUUAACUGCCCUUGCUUUGGGGAGAAGUUCGUCGACGUCGAGGAGUGGCACUUCGAAACGAAGAGCCCAACUCGCUCAUCUAUGGAGUCGGAUGCCCAUUAUAAGCGCGAAGAAACAAAGCUAUCGAACAGGGGAGGUGCAUCUCAGUAGCAUCCCAGAAAGAGUGGCGGCCGAAGAACCCAAGAACGAAUUCGAUGUCUGAGGAAGUGACGAAGGUGAAGAUUACUCUGGGAAACUGGGGUAAAGAUCGGAGUUUUUUUCACGUUGCGAAUCAGUUUUCACCGGAAAAGACCAUUCCGACCGAAAUUAGCCACCGUAUAAUGAACCCCGGGAAGUCGUUGGCUGACUCAUUCGGCUUCUUCUUCUCGAUCCUCUGUCCACCAUCCUCGAACCCCACCGAAGAGCCACCGUGGGAUUCGUUGGAAGUUUUCAGACCAACCGAUGAGUCGACGAAGAUGACGAAGAAACCAUCGGAGUUCCAACGGCGUGCGACAGUGUUGUCGUUUCCUGCCGAGCGAGACAGCCCCAGCUUCACCUACCCGACGAGCCCAAAGCCUCAGCCAGAGGUUGACACGGCGAGCAAUGAAAGCUCGGAACUUAAUCUAAUAAGAGUGCUCGAGUUUAAAUUACCAUCAUUUUACACUAUAUUUGAUACGAUGACUAUUUUAUCCGGACUAUACUACUAAGAUGAUACUUGGAUCCUAAUUAGUUUGAUUCGUAUCAAAAUAGACUAACCUCAUCCGCCAUCUCAACAUCUAGCCUUUAUUCAGAAUAUUCCAUCAAUUAAAUGUGGCACAAAAAAUCUUUCCUAACCAUUUGCGACUGCAGUUUAACUCAUCAUAAAUGAGCCUCCUACUUAGGUACCCAACAAGUUGUACACAUCAUCAAAGAGACUUUUUUUCGGGUACGCCACGCCACAUGUAUUAGUUUUGUACCAACUCUGCACUACUAAAAUCCUUGAAAGAUAAGUCUGGUCGGAUUAGACUUAUUUCUUGAGUUCACAAUCAAAAUCAAAAUUAUGGAAAAUUGCAGCAUAAAUAUAAGACAAAACUCUGUAGAGUUGUGUUCUUCGUAGAAAAUAUCAGUAAGCAUCUUGUCCCGUUCAUGGCGUUCUAAUAUUGUGUCCCAUGUCUGAUCCAGAAGACAUUGCUAUCAAAAGAAAGCCAAGAUUGCUUGCACGUUAAGCCAAAAUGUUGGUGACAGAGACCCAAUUGCUCACAACAACAUCUAUAUCAAGACUUACGCCUAUGUGAGCAACAAUAAGAUUAUACGUAUAUAAUACAACUCAAAAUAGCACAAAGUUAAGCACUUAUAUAUAUAUUUAACCCAAAAAAGGAACAUAAGUGAAUUGGACGAUUAAACCGGUCCGAACCGGUCUAAUGUUUCUGAACCGGGCGGCCCAGACGUUCUUGCGCUCUCCCCAUCUUGGUUACCCGCGGCACGACGUCCGGGUCGACCGGAGGCCGGAUGCGAACCGGGCUUGGGCCGACGCUGACGCCUCUCUCGCUUCGGCAGUCCAGAAGCCCGUUACCUUUCCGCCGCGGUCCCGCGGGCUCGCCGCCCAUCGCCGCCGCGAACCGGUUGUGCUCCUCCUCGAUGAAGCGGAACUCGUCGUAGUUGGAGGCAGCGCUGGAGAAGUUUGCGGCGCUCGCGUGGUCGAACCCCUCGGCGGUCGUGACGCUCCACUCGACGCUCGCCUCGCUGGGCUGGUAGCACUCGCUCGGGGCGAUGGAUGGCGCUGCCGCCCCCUCGAGGCUCCGACGGAGCUGGAGGAUCCCGGCCGCCGCGCCGCUGCCAACGAAGCGGCGUCCUUCGAGCUCGUCGAGGGAAUCACGGCGGCGGUACGUCACAUGUGAAUAAUUUGAUAGAGUAGUAGUAACACAUGGCUUGAUGAGAAUCCUAUCUGAAGACUGUAACAGGGUCCUACAAAGGCGAGGUCACGAAGAAAAGAAGGAUAAGCUGACACGGAAAGAAAUAGUUCAAGCUGAUGUGCUUUUCCUGAUAUCACAAGGAAGAGCAGCCACGCUGUUCUGGAUCAUAGAGAGGUCCCCAUGGUUGGGGUUUGAUUAGAGGCAUCAGAUAAGGUUACUGCAACAUGUGAAAUCAAUUUUGUGGAUGCGAGUGAUGUUAGGGCUUCAGCUUCCUGUGUGGCAAAUUGAUGCCCAUAGCUUUAGCCAUAAUUUAGGGAAGAAGAUAAGAUGGUACUAUUCUGCACUGAUUUCUUUGAAGGCUUUCCAUGGGAAGAGACAGACAUCUCUCUCCUCUUGUCAUUGUUGUGUUUUGGGUGAUGAUAUGUUAGCUGUUCUUUUAUAGGGUGCUAGAUAUGAAUGUGUAGGCCAAUUAAUGCACUUUUCCCAACCUAAAGUGCAGAAGAAGACACCAGGUUAGGGUGGUAGGGGACUCAUAUACGAUAAUGGAUUGGAGGUGUUCCUUUGAUCUCUCUUUUUUUUUUUCUUAAGUUCUUUAUUGUUUUAUUAGGUUAGGUUCUUUCAAGAAAGAGGACUGCCAUAUAGGUGAUUUACAUAAACAUGGAUGUGCUGAAUAAAAAUAUAGGACAUUUGAGGAUUCUACUUGUUUAUGGUAUUAUUAUCUCAUUUCUAAGAUUUCAUCUAUAAAUACAUGUUAAUGAUGAAUAAGUUUGAGGAUAACAAGAUACUUUUAUAUUCAAAAAAC
rnacentral:lncRNA from 1 species